rnacentral:rRNA from 1 species
GACGUAGGGCGCGAGCGUUGUCCGGAUUUACUGGGCGUAAAGAGCGCGCAGGCGGUCGAUCAAGUCGCGUGUGAAAGCCCCCGGCUCAACUGGGGAGGGUCACGCGAUACUGAUCGACUCGAAGGCAGGAGGGGGUAGUGGAAUUCCCGGUGUAGUGGUGAAAUGCGUAGAUAUCGGGAGGAACACCCAGGGGGAAACCAGUCGACUGGGCAUCUACUGACGCUGAGGUGCGAGAGCGUGGGGAGCGAACCGG